rnacentral:rRNA from 1 species
GACGAACGCUGGCGGCGUGCUUAACACAUGCAAGUCGAACGGAAAGGCCCUGCUUGCAGGGUACUCGAGUGGCGAACGGGUGAGUAACACGUGGGUGAUCUGCCCUGCACUUCGGGAUAAGCCUGGGAAACUGGGUCUAAUACCGGAUAGGAGCCAUUUUUAGUGUGAUGGUUGGAAAGUUUUUUUCGGUGUAGGAUGAGCUCGCGGCCUAUCAGCUUGUUGGUGGGGUAAUGGCCUACCAAGGCGGCGACGGGUAGCCGGCCUGAGAGGGUGGACGGCCACAUUGGGACUGAGAGACGGCCCAGACUCCUACGGGAGGCAGCAGAGGAGAAUAUUGCACAAUGGGCGCAAGCCUGAUGCAGCGACGCCGCGUGGGGGAAGACGGCCUUCGGGUUGUAAACUCCUUUCGCUAGGGACGAAGCUUUUUGUGACGGUACCUAGAUAAGAAGCACCGGCUAACUACGUG